ensembl:lncRNA
CUUCAUGUUGGAUUUGUUUAUGGGGAAAAAAAUGCUGUUUGGACUCUCAUUCUGGCAGCACCCAUUCACUGCAGAGGAUCCACUGGUGAGCAAGUGAUGUCAUGCUACAUUUCUCCAAAUCUGAUGAAGAAACAAACUCAUCUAAAUCUUGGAUGGAUUGAGGUGUUGGACUCCAGAGGGUUUUCAUCCUCCAGAAGGUGACAGGCUG